AUUUUUGUAUUUUUAGUAGAGACGGGGUUUCACCAUGUUGGUCAGUAUGGUCUACAAUUGAUUCUUAUUUGCAGUAAGUAUGUUCUAUAAAGUCACCAAGAACGCUGAAUUAGCAAUACUGAACCUUUGCUCCUAGAGGAAAAAUACAGAGUUAGAUUUCUGUGAACCCCUGGUCACAUUUUCAUCAACUGAUCAGUACAUCACCUUGUUUCAUGUGUGUUUCUGUUUAAAGACACCUUAUUUAAUACUGUUGAUUCAUUAACGCUGAACCUGCAGCCACAGCGCUGUAACUCAUGGCUGAAUGAAGCUGACAUAACACACCAUUUUCUCUGUAAGGCAUAUUACAGCCUUCUUGUAUUUAAGAAUGCCAGACAGCACCUUGCACUCCGCAUGGGGGCAGUUUGAAAUAGUGAAAUCACCAACAAAGUGCGCAAAUAUGUGAAGAGCGGGACACUAAAUAGACCACACAAAGGACACCUGUUUGCCAAAUGAGAGCUGGGACAAGAAGGCAGAGUGUCAUCUUGUUCUCCUUCAGCUGGUAUCAGGUUAUAUCAGGUGACUCAAAAUUUUUGCCACUUUGUAUAUGUCCACGAGUCACCCUGAAAGCAGUGUGAGUACUGAUUGGAGGAUGAAAGUGAAUUUUUGUGAGUAGGCGAACUCACAAAUAGGGAGUCCAUGAAUCAUGAGGGUCUAAUGUAGGCUCAUCCCUCGGGUUGUCACACAGGUGACGGUGACAGCCAGAGCCCUUUAGCACAGUGGGUCGUAGCAGAUCCUCACUCCAUGUGGGUCAUUACUGUGGUCGUUUCCCUCCUUGCAGGUUCUCUGACUUCAGGCGAUUAGACUUGGGGCGUUGAGGCACCUGCUUUCAAAACCACUCUGUGAGGCCAAGCGGCAGGUUGUGCGAAGAAUGGCCCAGCAUCAAGCUGGCACUCAGAGCCUUUGUUGAUUCUGAGUUAAACUUCCUGCAGCACCUUCAAGUUCAAUUCUCAGGACGAUAUGCCCACUCCUCUGCCAGUGGAGGCGGGGAUGCCGAGGUGGGGAGACCGAGGCUGGACCCUGAGAGUGAGGGCCUUCAGAAGCUUUGCAGUCUAGGCUUCUCUCCCCACAACCUGGUCUCUGCCCUGGCACCUACCUUGAAGGGUGUCUGGGCGGCAGAUUGGGGCCAGGUGGUGGAGGAUAGCUGGGCACAGAAGUUGGGUUGUGUGUUUAGGGUAGAAGGGAACCAUGGAAGUUUGUGGGGCAGGACUGUGAUCAGGAUGGCGUGGGCUUUCAGAAGGCUGAGAGAAGCCAGCCAAGGAGGCCUCCCGAGGUCUCCUGGGUCUUGAGAAGCCUCAUAUUUCCCCCUGUGUGGUGGCUGCGGUUCACCCCGAGAGAGUGCUGGGGGGCUGCUCCUCUUCCUGGGGCUUCAUCUGCCUAAGCUACUCAAUGUAAAGGACUCCCCAGUGCUCAGCCACCAUUCCUCUUCUCGUUAAAUUUUUCAUUAAGAAAAAUGGUCACCAAAGAGUGGCGAGGUAGUUUCACCAGCGCUUUUGUGGGAGAUGAACGAGCCAGAAGCAAGUGUGCCAGCACCUCCCUCAGUCUUCCACAGCAAGCAGUGUGCUACCCUGCCUACACGCAUGCGCGCAUAACACCCCUGGGGACACACGUGUGUCCACAGACAUGCAUGCAUGUGCACACCUACAUCAACACCAUCAGGUGGACACAGUGCGUAACACACACAGUACACUGUGCACCACACUCACAGGCACACACAUGA
rnacentral:lncRNA from 10 species